UUACUCUCCAACUCCAACUCCAUAACCAAAACUCUCUUUAGCUUCUUCUUUUCUCACUAUUUCUCUCCUUUUCUUCAGGGUUAGUUAGAUCUCACCCCUUUUGCUAUAUCUAUACUUAUAUGUAUAUAUAUAUAUGUUUUGGUAAGAAACAAUAAUUGUUAAUAUUUUAAUUUCUAUGUUUAUAAAUAUAAAUAUAUUAUUUAUGUUUAAUUCUUAUAUAAUUAUUCUUAGAUUCACUUGUGAACUACUUUUCACUUGGAUGUUGUGAUGAUGAUUUUUUCAGAAGUGUGUUCUUUGAAUCUUAAUAAAGGAGAGAUAGAUAGAUUUGAAUCUUAUCUAUCUUUUUUCAUUAUUUUUCUUCCUUUUUUUCCACCAUUAUUUGUUGAUUUUUUUAAGCUAAACUAUUUUGCCCUUCAGUUUUACAGGUUCUACUGAUGAAUAUAUAUAUAAAUUUUUUCUUGUCUUUUCUGCACAAGUUCAAUUUUCUUUCCUUAUUUUUUUUAUCUUAAAAAAUAAAAAAUAGGGAUUGUCAUACAAUAAUUUUUGUUGGGUUAAUAAAGCAUAAAUAAAACCUCUAUUUCCUCUCCUUAAAAUUUAAUCCUUUAUUAUUAUUGAUGCAUGAAGAGGGAGAUAAAUAGAUAGAUAGAUAGAUAGAUAGAUAUACAGUCGUUAUUUGCAGAUGUAGCAUCAUCAAGAUUCACAUGCAAAUGUAGAAGGUUGUGUAUGUGGGACUUUCUCUUUUGAAGUGAGAAUCUUGAUGAUGCUGCAUCGGCAAUAAACGCCUUCAAUUCAAUUCUUCAUUCAAAAUGCUGUUCCUAUUUACUCUCUCUGUUAGUUCAAUAGUAAGUUACUGUUUUAACCCCAAACAAACAGAUCAGAUAUAUAUAUAUAUAAUUGUCUCCAUUAUUAUUAUUAUAUAUAUAAAAAAAAAAGAGAUAGAGAGAGAGAGAGAUCUAAUCUGCAGAAGAAUUGAGUUUCAGCAAUUGGUGAAGGUGAUGACCCCCUUUUUUUCCUCCACUUUCAUUCACUUUCUGUUGUUGUCAGGUGGUUUUUUUUUUUAAUUUCGUUUUAUUUUUCUAGUAUUAUAUAUACAUUUCUUUAUUUUAUUUAAUUAAUUGCCACAUUCACAAUGGAUAUAUAAUUAUAUAUGGGUAUGGUCUUGCAAUAUUUUAUUAGAAAUUCAACAAUACAACAAAUAUGUGUAUAUAUAAUUGAAUUGAAUUGGAUUGGAUUGGACAGAUUAGUACAAAAUGUCUAAUAUUAUGUUUUUCUUUAAUUCUGUGUUUUAAUUUAUUUAGGAUGAUAAGUAUAUAAUAUUAGAAUAUAUAGGGACAUUAAUAAGUUAGGUGUUGUUGCAAUUUGCAGACAGUCCUAGGUUGUCAAAAUAGGGUUAUUUGGGAGGGGAAGGGGGAUGUGGUUGUUAGGUCUUCUUUAUGUGCUGACUUCACAGAUCUAUGAAUGUUCCUUUUCAACACAAAUUUCAGGGAUUCAUAAAUUGCAUACCAUGGCGUCUUUUAACUUUCUAAAUAUAGAUUAUCAUGCAUUAUAUAAAUAUAUAUCCCAUUCUACAAAUCUAGAGAGAGAAAUUAAAGGAGCAUAUGGAUAAUGGAUUUUAGUUUAGGGUACUCAUUUGGUGAUGUUGUUUCUUGAUAUAUAAUUUUUCACUUAUAUCUAUAUCUAUAUCUAUAUGUAGUAAUACUACUAAAUUUUAUAAUUAUCUUAUAUGAUUUUAUUUUAUUUUAUUUUUUCACCUGAAAUUUCACUGCUAAUUUCUAAGAGUUCAUGAAGAAAUUAAAGCUUUGUGAUUGUGAAUGUGAAUGGAUAAUUCCAAUAGUCAUCAUAAGUCACAAGCAGUUCUGUACUUGUUAUUGCAAUAUUAUUCUAUUUACAAUAAUGUUUUAGUAUAACAAGUUAUAAAUUUAAUUAUGAUUAAUAAUUCUUAUUCUUUUGGUAGUGAGCUUAGUAUUACAUGAGUUUAGUAAAACAAGACUAUUUGAGUGAUGACAAAAUUCUUUCUUCUAAAUUUUAACUUAGUUAAUUACCUUUAACUAAAACUUAAAAAUCUAAUAUAUAUUAUUUACAUGCUUGUUGAUUAUAUUGCUUAGUAUAACAUAUGUACAAAUUAAUAAUUUAAUAGUAUACAUAUAUAUAGUGUUAAGUACUGUACAUGUACUAUAUAUUAAUGAAAUUAAUGUUUGUAUGUGUGGAUUAUUGCGAGGGUUUGCAUAUGGCAAUGAAAUUAAGCAAAAAUCAUUGAAAAUUGAAGCUGGGUUGGCUUGGGAACUUGGAUUAUGCAAAAUCAAUGACACUAUGUGAUGAGUUCCAUGAUCAAGGGGAUUUGGCAGUAGUAACUUACUAUAUUUUAUAUGAUAAGUAUGUUGAUGAUGGACUAAUCUGAGAGGUUGGAGGCUCAAAAAUUACCAGCAGAGGUAGAUACAUGCUUCAUGUUGGGGAGUAACCAACUAAGUCUUAAAGAUAUAAUCUCUUCUAAUUUCAGGAGGCCAGUUUCUAUCACCAAACCUUGAAAAGAUCCAACAGAUCAAUGAGGAAGAAGUCAUAGCUGGAAAUGAUUCAAGACAAAAUAAGUAUGAGUGGCUGCAAUGCAGAAAAUAGGGCAGGAAUAUGAGUAAGAUGAUGCUGAUGGCUGUUAAGCUCAUGUGACAUGUGGACGCCACAUUGGUACUUCUCUGCUGCUUUUGUUUCUACCUUUUUUAUCUUUUUUUUUUUUAAAUUAUUUGAACAAUAAAAAUUAGUUCUCCAUUCACAUAA